GGGACAACAUCCCGAAAGGGGUGCUAAUACCGAAUGUGACAGUAAUCUCGCAUGAGGAUGCUGUGAAAGAUGGCCUCUAUUUAUAAGCUAUCGCUAGAGGAUGGGCCUGCGUCUGAUUAGCUAGUUGGUGGGGUAACGGCCUACCAAGACGAUGAUCAGUAGCCGGUCUGAGAGGAUGAACGGCCACAUUGGGACUGAGACACGGCCCAGACUCCUACGGGAGGCAGCAGUGGGGAAUCUUCCGCAAUGGGCGAAAGCCUGACGGAGCAAUGCCGCGUGAGUGAUGAAGGAAUUCGUUCCGUAAAGCUCUUUUGUUUAUGACGAAUGUGCAGAUUGUGAAUAAUGAUCUGUAAUGACGGUAGUAAACGAAUAAGCCACGGCUAACUACGUGCCAGCAGCCGCGGUAAUACGUAGGUGGCGAGCGUUGUCCGGAAUUAUUGGGCGUAAAGAGCAUGUAGGCGGUUUUUUAAGUCUGGAGUGAAAAUGCGGGGCUCAACCCCGUAUGGCUCUGGAUACUGGAAGACUUGAGUGCAGGAGAGGAAAGGGGAAUUCCCAGUGUAGCGGUGAAAUGCGUAGAUAUUGGGAGGAACACCAGUGGCGAAGGCGCCUUUCUGGACUGUGUCUGACGCUGAGAUGCGAAAGCCAGGGUAGCGAACGGGAUUAGAUACCCCGGUAGUCCUGGCCGUA
rnacentral:rRNA from 1 species